GAUGAAGAACGCAGCAAAAUGCGAUAAGUAAUGUGAAUUGCAGAAUUCAGUGAAUCAUCGAAUCUUUGAACGCACAUUGCGCCCGUCAGUAUUCUGGCGGGCAUGCCUGUUCGAGCGUCAUUUCAACCCUCAAGCACAGCUUGGUGUUGGGACUCGCGUUAAUUCGCGUUCCUCAAAUUGAUUGGCGGUCACGUCGAGCUUCCAUAGCGUAGUAGUAAAACCCUCGUUACUGGUAAUCGUCGCGGCCACGCCGUUAAACCCCAACUUCUGAAUGUUGACCUCGGAUCAGGUAGGAAUACCCGCUGAACUUAAGCAUAUCAAUAAGCGGAGGA
rnacentral:misc_RNA from 1 species